rnacentral:rRNA from 1 species
GGGUUGUGAGGUUAAGCGACUAAGCGUACACGGUGGAUGCCCUGGCAGUCAGAGGCGAUGAAGGACGUGCUAAUCUGCGAUAAGCGUCGGUAAGGUGAUAUGAACCGUUAUAACCGGCGAUUUCCGAAUGGGGAAACCCAGUGUGUUUCGACACACUAUCAUUAACUGAAUCCAUAGGUUAAUGAGGCGAACCGGGGGAACUGAAACAUCUAAGUACCCCGAGGAAAAGAAAUCAACCGAGAUUCCCCCAGUAGCGGCGAGCGAACGGGGAGGAGCCCAGAGCCUGAAUCAGUGUGUGUGUUAGUGGAAGCGUCUGGAAAGGCGCGCGAUACAGGGUGACAGCCCCGUACACAAAAAUGCACAUGCUGUGAGCUCGAUGAGUAGGGCGGGACACGUGGUAUCCUGUCUGAAUAUGGGGGGACCAUCCUCCAAGGCUAAAUACUCCUGACUGACCGAUAGUGAACCAGUACCGUGAGGGAAAGGCGAAAAGAACCCCGGCGAGGGGAGUGAAAAAGAACCUGAAACCGUGUACGUACAAGCAGUGGGAGCACGCUUAGGCGUGUGACUGCGUACCUUUUGUAUAAUGGGUCAGCGACUUAUAUUCUGUAGCAAGGUUAACCGAAUAGGGGAGCCGAAGGGAAACCGAGUCUUAACUGGGCGUUAAGUUGCAGGGUAUAGACCCGAAACCCGGUGAUCUAGCCAUGGGCAGGUUGAAGGUUGGGUAACACUAACUGGAGGACCGAACCGACUAAUGUUGAAAAAUUAGCGGAUGACUUGUGGCUGGGGGUGAAAGGCCAAUCAAACCGGGAGAUAGCUGGUUCUCCCCGAAAGCUAUUUAGGUAGCGCCUCGUGAAUUCAUCUCCGGGGGUAGAGCACUGUUUCGGCAAGGGGGUCAUCCCGACUUACCAACCCGAUGCAAACUGCGAAUACCGGAGAAUGUUAUCACGGGAGACACACGGCGGGUGCUAACGUCCGUCGUGAAGAGGGAAACAACCCAGACCGCCAGCUAAGGUCCCAAAGUCAUGGUUAAGUGGGAAACGAUGUGGGAAGGCCCAGACAGCCAGGAUGUUGGCUUAGAAGCAGCCAUCAUUUAAAGAAAGCGUAAUAGCUCACUGGUCGAGUCGGCCUGCGCGGAAGAUGUAACGGGGCUAAACCAUGCACCGAAGCUGCGGCAGCGACACUGUGUGUUGUUGGGUAGGGGAGCGUUCUGUAAGCCUGUGAAGGUGUGCUGUGAGGCAUGCUGGAGGUAUCAGAAGUGCGAAUGCUGACAUAAGUAACGAUAAAGCGGGUGAAAAGCCCGCUCGCCGGAAGACCAAGGGUUCCUGUCCAACGUUAAUCGGGGCAGGGUGAGUCGACCCCUAAGGCGAGGCCGAAAGGCGUAGUCGAUGGGAAACAGGUUAAUAUUCCUGUACUUGGUGUUACUGCGAAGGGGGGACGGAGAAGGCUAUGUUGGCCGGGCGACGGUUGUCCCGGUUUAAGCGUGUAGGCUGGUUUUCCAGGCAAAUCCGGAAAAUCAAGGCUGAGGCGUGAUGACGAGGCACUACGGUGCUGAAGCAACAAAUGCCCUGCUUCCAGGAAAAGCCUCUAAGCAUCAGGUAACAUCAAAUCGUACCCCAAACCGACACAGGUGGUCAGGUAGAGAAUACCAAGGCGCUUGAGAGAACUCGGGUGAAGGAACUAGGCAAAAUGGUGCCGUAACUUCGGGAGAAGGCACGCUGAUAUGUAGGUGAAGUCCCUCGCGGAUGGAGCUGAAAUCAGUCGAAGAUACCAGCUGGCUGCAACUGUUUAUUAAAAACACAGCACUGUGCAAACACGAAAGUGGACGUAUACGGUGUGACGCCUGCCCGGUGCCGGAAGGUUAAUUGAUGGGGUUAGCGCAAGCGAAGCUCUUGAUCGAAGCCCCGGUAAACGGCGGCCGUAACUAUAACGGUCCUAAGGUAGCGAAAUUCCUUGUCGGGUAAGUUCCGACCUGCACGAAUGGCGUAAUGAUGGCCAGGCUGUCUCCACCCGAGACUCAGUGAAAUUGAACUCGCUGUGAAGAUGCAGUGUACCCGCGGCAAGACGGAAAGACCCCGUGAACCUUUACUAUAGCUUGACACUGAACAUUGAGCCUUGAUGUGUAGGAUAGGUGGGAGGCUUUGAAGUGUGGACGCCAGUCUGCAUGGAGCCGACCUUGAAAUACCACCCUUUAAUGUUUGAUGUUCUAACGUUGACCCGUAAUCCGGGUUGCGGACAGUGUCUGGUGGGUAGUUUGACUGGGGCGGUCUCCUCCUAAAGAGUAACGGAGGAGCACGAAGGUUGGCUAAUCCUGGUCGGACAUCAGGAGGUUAGUGCAAUGGCAUAAGCCAGCUUGACUGCGAGCGUGACGGCGCGAGCAGGUGCGAAAGCAGGUCAUAGUGAUCCGGUGGUUCUGAAUGGAAGGGCCAUCGCUCAACGGAUAAAAGGUACUCCGGGGAUAACAGGCUGAUACCGCCCAAGAGUUCAUAUCGACGGCGGUGUUUGGCACCUCGAUGUCGGCUCAUCACAUCCUGGGGCUGAAGUAGGUCCCAAGGGUAUGGCUGUUCGCCAUUUAAAGUGGUACGCGAGCUGGGUUUAGAACGUCGUGAGACAGUUCGGUCCCUAUCUGCCGUGGGCGCUGGAGAACUGAGGGGGGCUGCUCCUAGUACGAGAGGACCGGAGUGGACGCAUCACUGGUGUUCGGGUUGUCAUGCCAAUGGCACUGCCCGGUAGCUAAAUGCGGAAGAGAUAAGUGCUGAAAGCAUCUAAGCACGAAACUUGCCCCGAGAUGAGUUCUCCCUGACUCCUUGAGAGUCCUGAAGGAACGUUGAAGACGACGACGUUGAUAGGCCGGGUGUGUAAGCGCAGCGAUGCGUUGAGCUAACCGGUACUAAUGAACCGUGAGGCUUAACCUUACAACGCCGAAGCUGUU